UAGGGAAUUUUCGUCAAUGGGGGGAACCCUGAACGAGCAAUGCCGCGUGUGUGAAGAAGGUCUUCGGAUCGUAAAGCACUGUUGUAAGUGAAGAAUGCCAUAUAGAGGAAAUGCUAUGUGGGUGACGGUAGCUUACCAGAAAGCCACGGCUAACUACGUGCCAGCAGCCGCGGUAAUACGUAGGUGGCAAGCGUUAUCCGGAAUCAUUGGGCGUAAAGGGUGCGUAGGUGGCACGAUAAGUCUGAAGUAAAAGGCAACAGCUCAACUGUUGUAUGCUUUGGAAACUGUCGAGCUGGAGUGCAGAAGAGGGCGAUGGAAUUCCAUGUGUAGCGGUAAAAGUGCGUAGAUAUAUGGAGGAACACCAGUGGCGAAGGCGGCUUACUGGACGGUAACUGACGUUGAGGCUCGAAAGCGUGGGGGAGCAAACAGGAUUAGAUACC
rnacentral:rRNA from 1 species